GUAGCAAGAUUCAGGAUUGGUUUUAUGUAAUACAGUAAGGGGGUUACAAUAACUACAUAAAACCAAUCCUGAAUCUUGCUACUUGAACUCCUGUACAUUUUGGGGUCGGAAAGCAGGAUUGGGAAUGAAUAAAUGCCACUGCAAUUGAGAAAGACUGCAACGCUGAAAGUGUUGACUGAAAAUUAACAAAAUACAAAAAGCCAUUAUGGACAUUCACCAUCCUCAAGGGGGAAGCACUGUUCUCUGAACCCUGCAUGAUCAAAUCAACUAAUUUGCACUCUCCCUGCAUGUCUGCUUGGGGAGAUAGCUCUUUUUUACUCAAUC
rnacentral:misc_RNA from 1 species